rnacentral:rRNA from 1 species
UACGGAGGUUGAAGCACCUAGGCGGAAGCAGGGAGGAAGCGGAAGCUCUACGGCGGCUCGCCCCGGGACCUCGAGACCGACGUCGUGCGGCUGACACCGUGGGGACGUUGACCUCGCCUCCAGCGCCAGCAGCGAAACCCGUUCCAGAAGUACUGGGCCCCGACCCGGGCGUAGUCGUCGUCGCGGCAGGCACUAUCUCCUCGUAGCAGGCGGGUGGUGGGCGGCAACUCCUCGUCGACGCGGCAGGCAACGACUCCUCGGCGGGCGGCAAGAAGAAGGAGGUGGCCGCUGUGCACAUGGAGGUCUAGAGUUGUCCUCUAAUUAGUUUCCCCUUUUCCUUGUAAACUGGUGGUCGAUCGUAUUCCUAAAGUAAAAGUCACCAAACUCCAAAUUCCCCGUACCGUACAACCGUGGUAAGUGUCGACCUACCGUCUCGUUACCACACGUAGGCAACCAAUAAAUCUCUAGACUCCCAAGAAUACAAAUACUGUAGUUACCCUUGUUCAUAGGUCUAAGAGAUCGUCCUGACACCACAUGUUGAAAUCCUCUCAUGGUUUAAACACUUCUGAAAGUAAAGAAUGUAAGCAAUGAAAGUCGGCGACUUGUUUGGUUCCAUUUCUUGCUGUUUGUGCCUUUUCCGAUCGACAACCGACACCCACGACUCGACUGCCUGUCACACCUUCUUCCACACUAGAACCGUCACCGGCUACUUCAUGAAAAAAGAAAUGUACAACUAGUGAUGACGUGACAAGUUCAAGAAUUAGUUCACUGACUAGCUGACACUAACACCAAGUGUUGGUUCCCUUACGAUUGGCACCACCACUAACUUCUCGGGAAUUAGUUAAGCCGGGACAUCUAACCUCGUGGUUGUACCCUAUAACGUGGUAGAUCGAGGCAGAUAGACUAAGUAGAAUAAAAGAACCAGAUAGUUGAUCUCCUUAGAUGUCUAAGAACUUAUGCAAGGACUGGAACACGUUAGCUAUCAACCAGACUAGAGUAGGAGGCUGCUGGUUCUCAAGGCUCUGCUUACGCACCACGGGGAACGCUUUGUAUCCCUGUACUGUCUUUCAACGUUCAGGUGUUCAACUAGAUUCUACAAGGCCAGUAGCGAAAACAAGUAUUGUACCAUCUGUGCAAAACAAGUAUACCUACAAAUACGGCCGAACCACUAACUUCCUAACCAGAGAAAGUAUUAUGAGGGAGAUGGUUUUAUGAGCAUCAACCCCCUUGAACUUGAUCAAAGGGGGUUGAUGUUCAUAAAGUCGUGUCUCCUUCAUAAAACAUCAUCGGUUCACUAGCUUGUUAACCAGAGAAUCCUCGAAUCGGAAAUAUAAAACAUCAUCCUGUACAGAACAUACAGCUGAAUACAUAAUGGAAGUACCAACAUCGUUUGAGCUCACUUCUAUGGUUUAAAAGUUAUAUACAACUUAUUUACAUGAUCACUUACCACUUACCACAGAACACUACUUAUCUUCUCACGUUAAUAAACAUAUACAUAACACGUAACU